GUUUGUGUGCCUUGUCUCGACGGUGGCGCUGGUGAACGCCGGCGAUCCUUACUUCUACUACACGUGGAACGUGACGUACGGAACCGCCUCGCCUCUCGGAAUCCCUCAACAAGUGAUUCUCAUCAACGGACAGUUCCCAGGUCCUAACCUAAACUCUACAUCUAACAACAAUGUCGUCAUCAAUGUCUUUAACAACCUUGACGAGCCUUUCCUCUUGACCUGGUUAGUAACCAUUUCCUCUCGUUUCUUGUUUACUAAUUACGCGUUUUUGCAUGAGCAUAUUGUUUUGAAGAUCAAAUAAUAUUUUGAACGAUACAAAACAUUUUUUUUCAUUUUAAUACACUUUCUUACAAAGGUCAAACGCCAAAUGCAAAAAUAACUUCUCAAAUCGUUUGAUGUUUUCAUUUUACAAUUUACAAAUCAAUAUUUUUUCCACAUAUUUAAGAUUGGACAUUCGUUUGAAAAUAGAAAAUAUGUCUUGGUUAAGUUAUGUUAUUUUGUUUCUUGGUUUUUAGUUUGAAAAAUUCAUAACUAAAUUUAAAUCAAAAUCUUUUUGGAUCAUUCAAUUAAUUGGUUUAAGAAAAGUUUGUUUUAUCUCCGUUCAGAUAGUAGUUUUUUUAACAGCAAAAGUGUUACAUUAAUUUCACAUAAUGAUAUCUAUAUAUUUAUAUGUAUACAAAUAAAAUAUAAUAUUUUAGUUUGGUUCAGUUUUGAUUUUAGAUUUAUUUUGCAAUAGGUUUGGUUAUAUGGCUACAACUAUACAUGUCUAGUUUUCAUUGUAACUUUUGAUACUGAGUCCUGACUAUUGGUUCGGUGACAUGGCAGGAGUGGUCUCCAGCACAGGAAGAACUCAUGGCAAGAUGGUGUGACUGGGACCUCAUGCCCAAUCCCAGCAGGCACCAACUACACUUACCACUUCCAGCCAAAGGACCAGAUCGGUAGUUACUUCUACUACCCAUCCACCGCUCUCCACCGUUUCUCCGGUGGUUUCGGUGGCCUCCGCGUCAACAGCCGUCUCCUCAUCCCCGUCCCUUACGCUGACCCCGAAGACGACUACACCGUCCUCAUCAACGACUGGUACACCAAGAGCCACACCGCUCUCAAGAACUUCCUCGACAGUGGCCGUACUCUUGGCUCCCCUGACGGCGUUCUCAUCAACGGUAAGUCCGGCAAAGUCGGAGGACAGGACAAGCCACUCUUCACCAUGAAGCCAGGAAAGACAUACAAGUACAGAAUCUGUAACGUUGGAUUCAAAUCCACUCUUAACUUCAGGAUCCAAGGACACAAGAUGAAGCUUGUUGAGAUGGAAGGCUCCCACGUUCUCCAAAACGACUACGACUCACUAGACGUCCACGUCGGACAGUGCUUUGCUGUUCUUGUCACCGCUGACCAAGCGGCUAAGAACUACUACAUGGUUGCAUCCACUAGGUUCCUCAAGAAGGAAGUGAGCACUGUUGGUGUGAUGAGCUACGAAGGUAGCACUGUUCAGCCUUCGAGUGAACUCCCCAAGGCUCCAGUGGGCUGGGCUUGGUCUCUUAACCAGUACAGAUCCUUCAGGUGGAACUUAACCGCAAGCGCGGCUAGACCUAACCCUCAAGGAUCUUACCAUUAUGGAAAGAUCAACAUCACACGUACCAUCAAGCUAGCUAACACCAAGAGUGUGGUGAACGGAAAGGUUAGGUUCGGGUUCAACGGUGUAUCACACGUUGAUACCGAGACUCCCUUGAAGCUUGCUGAGUACUUUGAGAUGUCUGAGAAGGUCUUCAAAUACAAUGUCAUCAAGGACGAACCAGCAGCCAAGGUCACAACACUAACUGUUGAGCCUAAUGUCCUAAACAUCACUUUCCGUACCUUUGUCGAAAUCGUCUUCGAGAACCACGAGAAGAGCAUGCAGUCCUUCCAUUUGGAUGGUUACUCCUUCUUCGCCGUCGCGUAAGCUCCAUUCAUAACCUUAAUUCUACUUCAAAACCCAAUCUAUAAUAUGCAUUUUCACUACAAGAAAACAUGUGGGGAUUCUGACAACCAAAUCCGUCAAAAAUAAGUAUUUCUAACAGAUUUUUGAUGGACUUGGUCAAAUAUUUAAAUCCGUCAAAAUUUUCUGACGAAUGUUUUACAAAAUAUUUUGUCUAUUAGAAUCCCACCUGUUUUUGUAGUAUUCCUUUUAGAUCCUGACAUUUUCUCUAAUGUUUGUUCAACAGUUCGGAGCCAGGAAGAUGGACACCAGAGAAGAGAAAGAACUACAACUUGCUCGAUGCGGUCAGCAGACACACCGUGCAAGUGUACCCUAACUCGUGGUCAGCUAUCCUCUUGACAUUCGACAACGCCGGUAUGUGGAACAUCAGAUCAGAGAACUGGGAGAGAAGAUACUUGGGACAGCAACUGUACGUCAGUGUUCUUUCACCUGAAAAAUCUCUAAGAGACGAGUACAACAUCCCACUUAACACCAACCUUUGCGGCAUCGUCAAGGGCUUGCCCUUACCUACACCCUACACUAUUUAAUUAAACUCACUUUCACAAAGUUUUAUGUAUUUAUAAUUGAAUAUGUAAAAUUAUAUACAUUCCACAAGUGAGUGUAUUAUGUUACUAAUU
rnacentral:lncRNA from 1 species